CCGUGCAGCCGGGGAGAUAGCGGUGCCCUGUACCUGCAAUCCGCUACAGCAGGGGUGAUGCCAAACCGAGGGAUUUCUUUCUGUGGAGCUGCCCUCUAUAAGUGGCGUUGACGUUUGGGUCUUACGCAACAGGAAUCUGUGAACCGUGUCAGGGCAGGAAUGCAGCAGCACUAAGCAGAACCUUCUGUGUGCCGUAAGGGUGCCUGGGCCGAGUUAACUGUAGAGGUAACGUCCAUGGGAGAGUCUCGAAGGGCGGCGCACGG
rfam:Blautia sp. An46 An46_contig_11, whole genome shotgun sequence.